rnacentral:rRNA from 1 species
ACUGCGAGUGAAGCGGGAAAAGCUCAAAUUUAGAAUCUGAGGGUCUUUUUGGCCUUCCGAGUUGUAAUCUAGAGAAGUGCUAUCCGCGCUGGACCGUGUACAAGUCUCCUGGAACGGAGCGUCAUAGAGGGUGAGAAUCCCGUCUUUGACACGGACACCCAGGGCUUUUGUGAUGCGCUCUCAAAGAGUCGAGUUGUUUGGGAAUGCAGCUCUAAAUGGGUGGUAAAUUCCAUGCUAAAGCUAAAUAUUGGCGAGAGACCGAUAGCGAACAAGUACCCGUGAGGGAAAGAUGAAAAGGACUUUGGAAAGAGAGUUAAACAGUACGUGAAAUUGUUGAAAGGGAAACACUUGAAGUCAGUCGCGUUGGCCAGGAAUCAACCUUGCUUUUGCUUGGUGCACUUUCUGGUUAACGGGUCAGCAUCAAUUUUGACCGGUGGAUAAAGGUCAGGGGAAGGUGGCAUCUUAGGAUGUGUUAUAGCCCUUGGUCACAUACAUUGGUUGGGAUUGAGGAACUCAGCACGCCGCAAGGUCGGGUGUUUACACCACGUUUACGUGCUUAGGAUGUUGGCAUAAUGGCUUUAAUUGACCCGUCUUGAAACACGGACCAAGGAGUCUAACAUGCACGCGAGUGUUUGGGUGGAAAACCCGAGCGCGUAAUGAAAGUGAAAAUUGAGAUCCCUGUCGUGGGGAGCAUCAAUGCCUGGACCAGACCUUUUGUGACGGUUCCACGGUUGAGCGUGUAUGCUGGGACCCGAAAGAUGGUGAACUAUGCCUGAAUAGGGUGAAGCCAGAGGAAACUCUGGUGGAGGCUCGUAGCGAUUCUGACGUGCAAAUCGAUCGUCAAAUUUGGGUAUAGGGGCGAAAGACUAAUCGAACCAUCUAGUAGCUGGUUCCUGCCGAAGUUUCCCUCAGGAUAGCAGAAACUCAUAUCAGAUUUAUGUGGUAAAGCGAAUGAUUAGAGGCCUUGGGGUUGCAACAACCUUAACCUAUUCUCAAACUUUAAAUAUGUAAGAACGGG